rnacentral:rRNA from 1 species
UACAGAGGUCUCAAGCGUUGUUCGGAUUCAUUGGGCGUAAAGGGUGCGUAGGCGGCGCGGUAAGUCGGGUGUGAAAUCUCGGAGCUUAACUCCGAAACUGCAUUCGAUACUGCCGUGCUUGAGGACUGGAGAGGAGACUGGAAUUUACGGUGUAGCAGUGAAAUGCGUAGAGAUCGUAAGGAAGACCAGUGGCGAAGGCGAGUCUCUGGACAGUUCCUGACGCUGAGGCACGAAGGUCAGGGGAGCAAACGGG